CAGCAGCCACGGUAAUACGAAGGGGGCUAGCGUUGUUCGGAUUUACUGGGCGUAAAGCGCACGUAGGCGGACUUUUAAGUCAGGGGUGAAAUCCCGGGGCUCAACCCCGGAACUGCCUUUGAUACUGGAAGUCUUGAGUAUGGUAGAGGUGAGUGGAAUUCCGAGUGUAGAGGUGAAAUUCGUAGAUAUUCGGAGGAACACCAGUGGCGAAGGCGGCUCACUGGACCAUUACUGACGCUGAGGUGCGAAAGCGUGGGGAGCAAACAGGAUUAGAUACCCGAGUAGUCCCUGUCUCUUAUAC
rnacentral:rRNA from 1 species